rnacentral:rRNA from 1 species
GUAGGGGGCGAACGUUGUCCGGAUUUAUUGGGCGUAAAGAGCUCGUAGGCGGCUCAGCAAGUCGGCCGUGAAAACCCGGGGCUCAACCCCGGGACGCCGGUCGAAACUGCUGUGGCUAGGGUUCGGUAGAGGAGAGUGGAAUUCCCGGUGUAGCGGUGAAAUGCGCAGAUAUCGGGAGGAACACCAGUAGCGAAGGCGGCUCUCUGGGCCGAUACCGACGCUGAGGAGCGAAAGCUAGGGGAGCAAACAGGAUUAGAUACCCUGGUAGUCCUAGCCGUAAACGUUGGGCACUAGGUGUGGCGGACUCAUUGACGUCUGCCGUGCCGCAGCUAACGCAUUAAGUGCCCCGCCUGGGGAGUACGGUCGCAAGGCUA